rnacentral:rRNA from 1 species
UACGUAGGGCGCAAGCGUUAUCCGGAAUUAUUGGGCGUAAAGAGCUCGUAGGCGGUUUGUCGCGUCUGCCGUGAAAGUCCGGGGCUCAACUCCGGAUCUGCGGUGGGUACGGGCAGACUAGAGUGAUGUAGGGGAGACUGGAAUUCCUGGUGUAGCGGUGAAAUGCGCAGAUAUCGGGAGGAACACCGGUGGCGAAGGCGGUUCUCUGGGCCUUGCCUGACACUGAGGAGCGAAAGCGUGGGGAGCGAACAGG